GUGGGGAAUAUUGGACAAUGGGGGAAACCCUGAUCCAGCGACGCCGCGUGGGUGAAGAAGGCCUGCGGGUUGUAAAGCCCUUUCGGUAGGGACGAAAGCUCUCGACCUAACACGUCGGGAGGUUGACUUAACCUACAAAAGAAGCACCGGCUAACUCUGUGCCAGCAGCCGCGGUAAUACAGAGGGUGCGAGCGUUAAUCGGAAUUACUGGGCGUAAAGCGCACGUAGGCGGCUUGGUAUGUCGGGUGUGAAAUCCCCGGGCUCAACCUGGGAACUGCAUCCGAAACUGCCUUGCUCGAGUAUGGGAGAGGGAAGUGGAAUUUCCGGUGUAGCGGUGAAAUGCGUAGAUAUCGGAAGGAACAUCAGUGGCGAAGGCGACUUCCUGGACCAAUACUGACGCUCAGGUGCGAAAGCGUGGGGAGCAAACAGGAUUAGAAACCCCGGUAGUCC
rnacentral:rRNA from 1 species